UUUAUCAAAAUACCCAUAAUAAUAUGAAAAAAUUACAAGAAAAUACACAUGAUUUCACACUAUAAUAAAAAAUAGCUCAUAUAUUUAAGUUUUAUCCGACCUAGCCCAUAUUAUACAUAUUCGCAAAUUCAAAACUUCUAUUCUUACAAUCAUUGCUUCUAAAAGCUAUGAAAUAAAAUCUAUGUUCUCAUAACUAUUACUUUCACUCUCUUCUACUCACAUCUUCAAGCAUCCGCAUAGUUUCUGCUUCUCCCCCCUAUAUCAACUGGUCGCAAUAUUAGAAAAUUAAAAAGUAUAAAUCCACUUUAAAAUUUAAAUUUAAAGUAAUUUGAAGUAAAUUUGGGCAGUAUUUAAAUUAAAUUUCAAAACAAAUACAAGGAAGAAAACAAAAUUAUUUUUUUGUAUAAUUAUAUAUAACCUUAUAUAAUAAUGCAAUGUAUCAUCUUAUAUGGAAAUCAAGUAUUAAAGUUGUAAGUUAGAAGUUAAUUGUGUCUUAAGUCACUGUCUUUGUGAACCUAGUCCGAUAGGAAUUUUGAUUGGCAUUUUUAUGUUCCUAUAUUUUCAUAUAAUGUGUGAUAAAUCUAAUGUUCAUUCCUUUUGCCUUUUUAGUAUCUUGAGCCGAGAAACUUGACCCCACUUGUUGGAUUCUAUUGAAUUGUUAUUGUUAUAUCUUCUUAUACACUAUUAUACAAUUUUAUAUACCUAUAUAGAUCUUUCACGAUUUUAAAUUAUAAUUCUCACUCAAAACAUGUCCAACUCUCCAUUAAAUAACUUCAAAUUUUAUAUACAUCCUAUUUCUAACAAAUUUGAAUAACACUCACUUCAAAUUCUGCACAAAAUCAAAUUCAGAAUUUAAACUCACAUUAACUUAAUAAAAAUCUUAUUUUCACUACCCAAAUGAAUUACCUUGUUGAACUAAUAUUUUGGAUCACAUUCGAAAACUAACUAAAAACUAGAAUAAUUUUAAAAUAAAUUAAUUAGUAAUUUCAAAAAUCUAUUGGAUUUAAAUGUUGACUAUUAGGGUAUUAUUUUCUUAUGUAAAAUUUUCCAUAAUAACGUUAUUCUUUCUCUUUGUUGGCACAAAUUUUAGUCGUCUUUAAAACGUAGUCCAAGUUUCCAAAACUUGAAAUCCUAAAUUUUGAGUAGUUGUUCUACUUACAAAAAAAAAAUAUUUUACAUUUAUGACAUUCAUUUUGUGUUAAGUUCUUCACCCUUUACUGUUUGGAAAUCUUUUCAAUUUCCAACAUAACUUCUCUUUUUCAAAGGCAGCCUAGCUUCAAGUCCUGUAUAAGUUAAUAUGAUUCAUAGAAAAUGUAAUUCUCAUGGCCAAUCCCAUGUGGUAAUUGCAGAGACUCUGCUACCCAAGGCGAUAGGAUAUGAGAUUGCUCCCCUUCGGAUUUCAAAAGAGCAGGAGACAGUAAAGCCUCCACUGCCCUAUGAAUCAACAAAAGGUGCUUGCUCUCUGAUGAUCAUUACAUUUUGGGUCAUACAAGUACACCAAAAACUUGCCCCAAUUCAGAAUCAAAUCAUCACAACUAUAUAUACAUUAUUCAAAAAGUUAACAACAACAACAAAACUAUAGUGGCAUGACAGUUAUAUUAAUCUUUUAGAAAAAACAUCUUGAAAAAGAAUAGGGGAAAACAUUAAUUAAUGAUGAUUGGCCUCAGAAUUGCAGAAUUGACAGCAAAGCCUUGAAGGCCAUUCAGUCCCGAAAGAUGGUGUUCCUUAUAAUUCAUCUCCUCACAGGCCAAAUAUAUUCUAUAAUAAUUAAAAAAAAUUGAAUAAUGUAUUUCUCAUGGCCAAUCCCAAGUAGUAAUAGCAGAGACUCUGCUCUACAAGGCGAUAGGAUAUGAGAUCGCUCCUCUUUGGACAAAAAACAGGAUUCUUCCUUUCCCCACAAGAGAGAAAACAAACCUCAACUGCUAACGUCAACAAAGAGGGCUUUUUCUAUGAUGAUAUUUACACACUUUGGGUUAUGCGAAUAUUAAAUUAACUCACAGAGAAAACAAGCCUCAACUGCUAGCAUCAACAAAGAGGGCUUGUUCUAUGAUGAUAUUGAAACACUUUGGGUUAUGCGAAUAUUAAAUUAACUCGCCCCAAUUCUAUAGUGUAUCGUCAAAAUAACAUUAAUUCUAUCUGUGGCAUAUGAAAACUACUUAUGAAACUAACGAUAUGAAAUAGUAUAAUGUAUGACAUAAGGAUAAAAUCACUAAAAAUUCUAAACAUCAAAAUUAAAUUAUAAAAAAUGUGAGAUGAAAUUAGUAGACAAGAACCAUUAGGAACCCAUCUGUGGAUUCAUCUCAGCGGUUGUCUGGCCGCCGCUGAUAAAUUCAGCUUUCCCUUUAUGCACUGUCGUUUAAGAACCGCACUAUUUCAUAAAUUAGCGAAGCCCUAUAUUAAUGCCAGUGCAAUUACAUACUAAAUUUCUACAACGAUGGCUAUCAUUGAAAGGAAUAUUGCAAAAAUAAAUAGCAGCACUAUAGCUUACAGAAAAGGGCGGCGAUUGAAUUGAGAGAGCAGAAUCGGCUAUGAAGCAAAACCUUAGAUGAAUGAUAAAGUUUAGAGGAGAGGGAAGAGGAGGUUUUAUAGAUGGGGUUCGGUGGAUAGGUCUAGCGGCCGCCUUAAAAUGGGCUUGUUU
rnacentral:lncRNA from 1 species